rnacentral:rRNA from 1 species
AUUGAACGCUGGCGGCAUGCUUUACACAUGCAAGUCGAACGGUAACAGGUCUUCGGAUGCUGACGAGUGGCGAACGGGUGAGUAAUACAUCGGAACGUGCCUAGUAGUGGGGGAUAACUACUCGAAAGAGUAGCUAAUACCGCAUGAGAUCUACGGAUGAAAGCAGGGGACCUUCGGGCCUUGUGCUACUAGAGCGGCUGAUGGCAGAUUAGGUAGUUGGUGGGGUAAAGGCUUACCAAGCCUGCGAUCUGUAGCUGGUCUGAGAGGACGACCAGCCAGACUGGGACUGAGACACGGCCCAGAAUCAUACGGGAGGCAGCAGUGGGGAAUUUUGGACAAUGGGCGAAAGCCUGAUCCAGCAAUGCCGCGUGCAGGAUGAAGGCCCUCGGGUUGUAAACUGCUUUUGUACGGAACGAAAAGCCUGGGGCUAAUAUCCCCGGGUCAUGACGGUACCGUAAGAAUAAGCACCGGCUAACUACGUGCCAGCCGCCGCCGUAA